CACUCGUUUCACGGUAAGUGGAGAAAGAGUAACUGUGACGAGCAGGCUUGCGAUUGGUCCGUCGUUUCGAUACAUCGAUAAUCGUGUUAACUCGCUUUUCGAUGGAAUUCAACUUGCGGAAUUCGUCAAAACCUAAACGAGAGGCUUCCAUUGGAAUGUCGAACCGUACUUCAAACAGAGGAAUAUCCGGACAAUCCGGACUUUGCGCAGAACCGUUACGGGGGGACUGUUAAACGGUUUUGUCGUCUGCACUUUCCCACGGGUAACGCGCAUCGAGGAGAAGCAUCAUGAGGGAUUUUCCUCGUCGCGGAAGCUAAGCGCGCGGCAAUUCCUCGAGCGAGCUUCUACUCGACAUUUCGCCUCUACUACGAAGGCGACUCGAUCGUGAGAUAUUGCCGUUUAUUGCGCCCCUCGAGGCGAUAUUCGAGGCGAUAGCGAACUUUACGAGAUCGUUACGCGGCGCAGUUGCAGCCUUCUUCUUCUUCUUCUUCUUCUUCUCGUUGCCCCUCGGGCAAGCCGAAGAGCUCGAUGGAAUUUCAAAUGAGGAUGCGGUUGCGCGUACGAAAUCGUCGGGAUGAAUUUUCGUCAAGGCGCGCGUUCGCGUGAUCGCUGCAGGACCGCCGAUGGUUCUGCGUCGCGAGCGCAUUAAAACGCCGCAGAGAAGAGAAGAAAAGGGACAAGCACAAGGAGAAGAUUGGGCGACCGGGGGAGAAAGAGACGCGACGAGAGGACGGCCGCCCCGAAAUAAGAGCAAUCAAAAAAUACGCCGCGCGACCAACCACCGCGGUUGGUUUGCGGUUACCACUGAUGCGCAGCGACAGAGUGGAUCUCCUCCAGCGAGGGGGAAGGAGGAAGAGCGUAGACAGACGGAUUUAUAUUCAAAUGAAUCGCGAGGCCUCGAUUUAUCGACGCCCGAUCAAACUCCGUAGCGCGGGAGCAGGCCGGGAGAGGAUGGAGAGAGGAGGAGGAAAAUCAAGGGGUUAAGUUACGAGAGAGGAAGGAUGCGCCUAAGGAGCGUAGAUCCCUCCCUCGCUCGCUCUACGCUCGCUGUUACCACUCGGGGAGCUAUGAUCUCGUACACAGAGCCGAAGUCGAAGAUUAUAUAACGAACCUCUACCCGGAGAAUUCCGAGGCACAGCCGGUGAACCUUGACCGAGGCCGCGGGUGCGUGACUGCAAGGAUGCGCGCACGCAGGAGACGGUGUGCGAUAUCCCGGUGACGGCGACGACUACGAUCACGACGAGCACGCGAGCACGCGAGCACGCACGCACGGAGAAAUCGCACGUACGCGUACGCGUGAAAGACGAGAGACAGUCGCUGAUGUCGCGAUGAGACUGGGCCCGAUUAUCCUGUCGUGGGCCACAGCCUUGGCCAGCUGGUUGGGCACAUCAAACGGAAGCGUAGCGGCGGCAGCGACGGUGACGGCGCGGGAACCACGUGUUUGGGACUACGAGCUGUCGACGGAGUUCUUCCUGGUACCAUCCGAGAUCGGGCAUGGUCUGGCGAGCGUGGCGAGCGUCAUCAGCGUGCCCGCGCCUAACCGGACCGUCAGCGUGUUCAGGACGGCACCGGGAGUCAGGAAGAGCCAGGAAGCAGAGAUGCGACCAACCCCCAAAUCCUUGCUGAAGCAACGACCCUGGGCGCUGCCGCUCGCCGCGCUCAGCGCCGCGACGAUGCUCCUCAUGGCUGGCUUCGAGGUCUUCGUGCUGCUCAAGGCUAGAGCGACGGCGCCGAAUAGACGACACUUGUUCCUGGGCCAGGCGCUGCUCCUGGGACUCUUUCUCCUGGCUGGUCUCUCGGCCGCAGCUUCCCUCAGCCAAAAUCCGUUAUCCUGUGCGGCCUUUCGAUUGGUGGGUUUGCCCGCCGCCCUCGUGUUCGCUGCCUUGUUAGUCAAAUGCGUUUUCUUGCUGUCGUUGAACAGUGGCGUGUACUUACCGGCGCCUUAUCAGGCUUUUCUUGUCUCGGUUGUGCUGCUGCAGGCGCUGGUGCUGGUGUUCGCGGUAUUGGUGCAGGUGGCCAUUGUCGGGCAAUGGUUUUACGGCGAACCACCUGCGGUGAUCCAGGUGCAGCAGCAACAACAGCAGCAAGCGGGCGCGGCGGUCCUGAGUUCGCCGGCAUCAUCCACCACCUGCAAGACUCCGCUCGGACAGAUAGUGGCUUCCCUCGGGUAUCCCGGAGCGCUGCUGGUGGCGGUGGCUUGUCUAGCGGUCCGGGCACGCGGCAUCCGGGACAAUAAUCGGGAGGCGGCCUUCAUCGGUCUUGCGGUCGGCCUCUCACUGCCGAUUUGGAUCUCCAGCGGGAUCGGAUCGCUUGCGGCCACUAGCGAGAGCGAUCGGGAGGCCUGGCUGGCUUACGGUCUACUGGCCACGUCGCUCUUCGUCUUCCUCACGAUGUUUCUGCCGAAGGGACGCCAGCUGGCUGCCCUGGGUCGCGAAGGGCCCGCGGCUGUCAUUCGCGACCGCGACGACGCCCUCAGCUCCCUCCCCGGCAGCGGAUACUCGCCCUCUUUCUUCCAUUUCAAGCCCACGGAAGCGUCCUUGAAGAGGAAGUUACAUUACCACAGUGCCGAUCGAGUCGCACUGGUCUCGUCCGGGAUACCCGGAUGCAGCGCCUGCAGGCACGGAGGAAGUCCCAUAUACUCGGACGAUGUGCACGGCCCGAUGGAGACGUUCGUUUUGCCGCCCGGUAUGUACUUGAGGCCGGAGGACGCCGGUAAUCUCUACACGACCUUGUCGGCCAACCCCAACGUGUUCUUCCAGAGGGCAGCUCAUCCCGGGAUGAUGUACUGAAGAAGGCGAAUCAUCGCGCGAAUGUUAUCGUCGAUGAUAAUCGAAUUUGUCGCUCUCGCAUGUGUGUGUAUAAUGCGCGCAUCAAGAUCUUGACUCUAGAUUAAAUUACGGACGAGCGCGAUAAACAGUUAUUGUUCUCUCGUCACUGUAAAUAAUCGUCAUUGUCGGGUUUGAUGAGUGGCUUCGUUGGAAUCCCUAUAAACUCUUCUUUGUAACUUGGAUUUUAUUACUGUGAGGAUGCGUCGUACUUCGCAAAAAUGCGUAUGCGAUUUAUUGCGGAAUCACCUGAAUCAACAUUAACCUGAUCCUUCAAAGGAGGUCGAUUCCAUAAUAUCGUGCGCCGUGCGAUCGAUCACAC
rnacentral:misc_RNA from 1 species